UCCCUGGUGAUCUAGUAGCUAGGAUUCAGCACUCUCACUGCUUUGGCCUGGGUUUGAUUCCCAGUCAGAGAA
rnacentral:tRNA from 1 species